GCAGGCUUUGAACGAACGCAAAACGAACAUUCCAUUGUUGCAUAUUAAAUUGUCAAAACAUUAUGUUCCUCGAUGGAUUUCGCACUGCGAGGGAUUUCAGCACUGUUUCUACCAUCAUUUCCUCGAUAUAUUUCUACGUAGCCCCAAAUUCGACACCAGCGCAUAGUCUAUUGCAGGAGAACUGAUUUAAAUACCGUAUAUUCCUUGCUUUUCGAAAUGAAAGCUUCGAGAUCUGUGAUGCUAAGGAAUAAAUAAGAUUUCAACGAUCGUGUAAACUGUGAAGUAACCUUCAGUCAAGUCAGGAUAAUAUAGUCAAAAACAUGCACGACUAAGCUUCAACCGGAAUGUGAAUUCAACUGUUGCAAAAUGAUUUAUGUAGAUGAAAAUGUUCAUAAAGCUGAAUUACAUGU